GUGUAUGCCAAAAUCACCCGGGAAUGUACCCAAUCUCAUCAGAUCUUAGAAACUAAGCAGGGUUGAGCCUGGAUCGUGCUUGGACCGGUGACCACCAUGCAUGCCAGGAUGUCAUAGGCU
rnacentral:rRNA from 1 species